GACGAACGCUGGCGGCGUGCCUAAUACAUGCAAGUCGAGCGGACGGAUGGGAGCUUGCUCCCAGACCGUCAGCGGCGGACGGGUGAGUAACACGUGGGCAACCUGCCUGUAAGACUGGGAUAACUCCGGGAAACCGGGGCUAAUACCGGAUAACUCUUUCCCUCACAUGAGGGAAAGCUGAAAGAUGGCAUCUCGCUAUCACUUACAGAUGGGCCCGCGGCGCAUUAGCUAGUUGGUGAGGUAACGGCUCACCAAGGCGACGAUGCGUAGCCGACCUGAGGGGGUGAUCGGCCACACUGGGACUGAGACACGGCCCAGACUCCUACGGGAGGCAGCAGUAGGGAAUCGUCCGCAAUGGACGAAAGUCUGACGGAGCAACGCCGCGUGAGUGAUGAAGGUUUUCGGAUCGUAAAACUCUGUUGUCAGGGAAGAACAAGUACCGGAGUAACUGCCGGUACCUUGACGGUACCUGACCAGAAAGCCACGGCUAACUACGUG
rnacentral:rRNA from 1 species